GUUGAACGCUGGCGGCAUGCCUUACACAUGCAAGUCGAACGGCAGCACGGGUGCUUGCACUUGGUGGCGAGUGGCGAACGGGUGGGUAAUACAUGGGAACGUACCUUAUCGUGGGGGAUAACGCAGCGAAAGCUGUGCUAAUACCGCAUACGCCCUGAGGGGGAAAGCGGGGGAUCGAAAGACCUCGCGCGAUUAGAGCGGCCGAUGCCUGAUUAGCUUGUUGGUGGGGUAGAAGCCCACCAAGGCGACGAUCAGUAGCUGGUCUGAGAGGACGAUCAGCCACACUGGGACUGAGACACGGCCCAGACUCCUACGGGAGGCAGCAGUGGGGAAUUUUGGACAAUGGGGGCAACCCUGAUCCAGCAAUGCCGCGUGAGUGAAGAAGGCCUUCGGGUUGUAAAGCUCUUUUGUCAGGGAAGAAACACCGGCUCUAACACAGUCCGGGAAUGACGGUACCUGAAGAGUAAGCACCGGCUAACUACGUGCCAGCAGCCGCAGUAA
rnacentral:rRNA from 1 species